AAUAGAUACCCCGGUAGUCCACGCCCUAAACGAUGUCAACUAGCUGUUGGGGUUUAUUAACCUUAGUAGCGCAGCCAACGCGUGAAGUUGACCGCCUGGGGAGUACGGUCGCAAGAUUAAAACUCAAAGGAAUUGACGGGGACCCGCACAAGCGGUGGAUGAUGUGGAUUAAUUCGAUGCAACGCGAAAAACCUUACCUACCCUUGACAUGUCUGGAAUCCCGAAGAGAUUUGGGAGUGCUCGCAAGAGAACCGGAACACAGGUGCUGCAUGGCUGUCGUCAGCUCGUGUCGUGAGAUGUUGGGUUAAGUCCCGCAACGAGCGCAACCCUUGCCAUUAGUUGCUACAUUUAGUUGGGCACUCUAAUGGGACUGCCGGUGACAAACCGGAGGAAGGUGGGGAUGACGUCAAGUCCUCAUGGCCCUUAUGGGUAGGGCUUCACACGUCAUACAAUGGUCGGGACAGAGGGUUGCCAAGCCGCGAGGUGGAGCCAAUCUCAGAAACCCGAUCGUAGUCCGGAUCGCAGUCUGCAACUCGA
rnacentral:rRNA from 1 species